UACGAGGGGGGCAAAUGUUGUUCGGAAUCACUGGGCGUAAAGGGAGCGUAGGCGGGUUUCUAAGUCAGGUGUUUAAUCCCGGGGCCCAACCCCGGACAGGCACUUGAAACUGGGAAUCUUGAAUAGUGGAGAGGUCAGUGGAAUUGGGGGUGUAGCGGUGGAAUGCGUAGAGAUCCCCAAGAACACCAGUUGCGAAGGCGGCUGACUGGACACAUAUUGACGCUGAGGCGCAAAAGCGUGGGGAGCAAACAGG
rnacentral:rRNA from 1 species